GGAAGCUGGGUGAAUGGCGUCGGUUGCAGAUCGCGCCACCCUCGCUGCCGCGAGUUCGCGUCGCUCCUGAACGGAGAAUAUAGCAAUGCAACGUAUGGGGAGAAGAUAUAGAGACACAAUUAUCAUCAUGAAUUAGAUUGAAGAUCUGACAACAAAACAGACCUCCCAAUAAUUUAGAGUUCCAUCAAUAUUGCAAUUAUUUCACUGAUAUGGACUAAUGGUGAAAGAUAAGACGGGAUUUCAACGGUUUGGUUGCAGAUUCCACCAGCUUACACAUCUACCAAACAUUUGUAUUGGUAUCUUGAAAACACAGCAAGAAGAAUGGUCCUUGAAGAAACCUGUAAAAUCUUAAGGUCAAUUCUGCCACUUAUCUCAGAAGAAGAUGCUCUCACGUUUAUAUACACAUGCAGACAUACAUUGUAUGAAAAAAGAGAGAAAAAGGGUUUGCGGAAGCAGGGAAGCCAAGUGAAAGAGAUAAGGCGGGUGGGGCAUCUAGA